rnacentral:rRNA from 1 species
GUAGGGAAUAUUGGACAAUGGCUGAAAAGCUGAUCCAGCCAUCCCGCGUGAAGGCAGAAGGUCCUAUGGAUUGUAAACUUCUUUUCUCUGGGAAGAAAAGGCGGGUUUCUACCUGCUCUGACGGUACCAGAGGAAUAAGCACCGGCUAACUCCGUGCCAGCAGCCGCGGUAAUACGGAGGGUGCAAGCGUUAUCCGGAUUCACUGGGUUUAAAGGGUGCGUAGGCGGGCUUGUAAGUCAGUGGUGAAAGCCCGGGGCUUAACUCCGGAACUGCCGUUGAUACUGCAAGCCUUGAGUACGGUUGAGGUGGGCGGAAUACAUCAUGUAGAGGUGAAAUUCUUAGAUAUGAUGUAGAACACCGAUUGCGAAGGCAGCUCACUAAAGCGUAACUGACGCUGAGGCACGAAAGCGUGGGGAUCAAACAGGAUUAGAAACCCCGGUAGUCC